rnacentral:rRNA from 1 species
UACGUAGGGUGCAAGCGUUGUCCGGAAUUAUUGGGCGUAAAGAGCUCGUAGGCGGUUUGUCGCGUCUGCUGUGAAAACUCAGGGCUUAACUCUGAGCUUGCAGUGGGUACGGGCAGACUAGAGUGCGGUAGGGGAGACUGGAAUUCCUGGUGUAGCGGUGAAAUGCGCAGAUAUCAGGAGGAACACCGGUGGCGAAGGCGGGUCUCUGGGCCGUAACUGACGCUGGAGGAGCGAAAGCGUGGGGAGCGAACAGG